GACGUAGGGCGCGAGCGUUGUCCGGAAUUAUUGGGCGUAAAGGGCUCGUAGGCGGUUUGUCGCGUCGGGAGUGAAAACACUGGGCUUAACUCAGUGCUUGCUUCCGAUACGGGCAGACUAGAGGUAUUCAGGGGAGAACGGAAUUCCUGGUGUAGCGGUGAAAUGCGCAGAUAUCAGGAGGAACACUGGUGGCGAAGGCGGUUCUCUGGGAAUGUCCUGACGCUGAGGAGCGAAAAGUGUGGGGGAGCGAACAGG
rnacentral:rRNA from 1 species